rnacentral:rRNA from 1 species
UGCACAGGUGCUGCAUGGCUGUCGUCAGCUCGUGUCGUGAGAUGUCCGGUUAAUCCGGUAACGAGCGCAACCCUCGCUGUAUGUUAUACGUGUCAUACGGGACUGCCGGUAUCAAGCCGGAGGAAGGUGGGGAUGACGUCAAGUCAGCAUGGCCUUUAUGUCUGGGGCUACACACACGCUACAAUGGCCAGUACAAUAGGUUGCAAGACCGCGAGGCGGAGCCAAUCCUAAAAGCUGGUCUCAGUUCGGAUUGCAGGCUGCAACUCGCCUGCAUGAAGUCGGAGUUGCUAGUAACCGCGCGUCAGCUAUAGUGCGGUGAAUACGUUCCCGGGCCUU